UACAGAGGUCUCAAGCGUUGUUCGGAUUCAUUGGGCGUAAAGGGCGCGUAGGCGGCGGGGUAAGUCGGGUGUGAAAUCUCAGAGCUCAACUCUGAAACUGCACUCGAUACUGCUCUGCUUGAGGACUGGAGAGGAGACUGGAAUUCACGGUGUAGCAGUGAAAUGCGUAGAGAUGUGGAGGAAUACCGAUGGCGAAGGCAGCCUCCUGGGCCAACACUGACGCUCAUGCACGAAAGCGUGGGGAGCAAACAGA
rnacentral:rRNA from 1 species